AUUGAACGCUGGCGGCAGGCCUAACACAUGCAAGUCGAGCGGAGCGGCGGAGGGGUGAGUAAUGCCUAGGAAUGUGCAUGGUAGUGGGGGAUAACGACCGGAAACGGGCGCUAAUACUGCAUACUAUCAGAUGAGCCUAGGUCGGAUUAGCUAGUUGGUGGGGUAAAGGCCUACCAAGGCGACGAUCCGUAACUGGUCUGAGAGGAUGAUCAGUCACACUGGGACUGAGACACGGUCCAGACUCCUACGUGAGGCAGCAGUGGGGAAUAUUGGACAAUGGGCGAAAUCCUGAUCCAGCCAUGCCGCGUGUGUGAAGAAGGUCUUCGGAUUGUAAAGCACUUUAAGUUAGGAGGCGUUACCAACAGAAUAAGCACCGGCUAACUUCGUGCCAGCAGCCGCGGUAAUUC
rnacentral:rRNA from 1 species